CUCGCCAAGAUUUCCUAAUUGUCCAGGUGGCUGAGCCCGAAGGCAGCUCUGUGAACACCUCCAUACCGAAUGCCAGCUCCAUUUCAGAGACGUCUUUCUUCGUGCAGAAAUAGAACACCUCCACUUCUUCGUGGGAAGAUGUCGUUUACUCCUCUGAUGGGGGCUCCCAAACAGUCCUCAGUUCCUUCAAGGAGACACUCUCCUUUUCCGGUGGAUACUGCAAGAUGGAGAACGUGAGCAAAGGGGCUGAAGGAGUUUACAGGAUUCAAGAUGAAAUGUACAGGAAGUGUGUGGCUGUCGUAAACUUUACCGUGGUGGAGCCCAGCUCAUUCCCACCUACUGUGUCUGGGACCUCCGGUGCUGAGGAGGAAGCUCGUGAUGAGACCAAAGGGGAUGGGAACUGUAGCCUCUUUUCCACAGGGUCAGUCUGAGUUCAAGCCAAUGCCGUAGGGCAUUUCAGGCUGCUGUCCUGUCUGGUCCAGCCCAGGGGACAAUAUCUGAUGCUUCCAGGAAAAGCAAGAACCCGCUGUAACAUACAUGGCUAGUUUUACCAUGCUGUAAAUGCAGGUGGGGAAUUAAUUACUGACCUCGGUGGCGUUCAGACUAUGUCCUGAAGCAUGGGAUUGGGCCAGAGGGACAGCUAGCGCUGGUCACAGUGUCCAGGGUCUCGGAGUGGGAAGUUCCUUGGAGAAUUCCACUGGGUGGGAGACUCAGCUGUGAAGGGAGGGGGCGGGCAGGAGCAUCUCAUCAACCCAAGAUUGGAAUAACUGAAGUAAUGUUCCUUUUACACGGAGCCUCAGCUCUCUGGAACCUCUGCAAAUGCUUUAGCCACGUGUUUAACUCCAUCCGUAGGAGUCGCCUUGGAUCGCAGUGGGAGGGCUCAGGUGCGUAAGUGUUUGCAGGAUGGGCACUCAGGGCAGUCCCUGACGCCAGGGCAAAGUGGAUGUGACGUGCCACUGUCUGGAUUUGGGAGCCUGCCUGCACAGCGAACUCACUAGGCGCUGGGUGCAUGACUGCAAGGCGCUGGGCCGGGGAAAAUCAGCCCCGGGUGGUUAUUUUGAGUAGAAAACCAGAGCCACUUCUGGGGUCUUUCAGCUUCUAAUGCCCUUUCCCUUCUGCAGCUGGAUUUCAGCCUUUGAUAAAAUCCCUCUCAAUGCCAAGUCAGUGCCAUAAAUCACUGGACUGGGUGCAGGAAUCAGUAGGCGACGUUCUCUGGCCUGGGUUAUGCCAGGGCUCAGACUAAAUUAUUCUUCCCAAAACUUUUAAAAGCUGAGCCCCCUCCUCAAGGCAAAGAAACCAAUCGUGCCCCUCACCCGUCAGCAAUGUGUUAGCGACCCUACCCCCCAUUUUCAUGGAUACGUCUUCAAACCCCACCCUUCCCACCAUGGCUAGCCCUUCCCCACGCUUCAGGAGACGCUGGAGGAGAUGAUCCUAACCGUCCCCUCUAACCUUAAGACCUGAGGGACCCCAUCCUGGAGCAUCUUAAAAAAUCACAGUUCCCAGACUCUGGAACAGGGGCUGCUUUGCCGGGCUCACCUUUCUCCCUGCGUCAGGUUGGCCGAUGGGGAUAAUGAGCCUGGAGAUCUCAUUCCCGCUGCUCUGAGUGGUGCCCAUGUGCACACGACCCAGCUCAGCUCUUCAUGUAUCCCAGGAACGUCUUCAUCUUCUGGGAUCCUCAUGGCAGCAGUGGGAUGAUUUAACGGAGCCCCUUAGUCAU